rnacentral:misc_RNA from 1 species
GAUGAAGAACGUAGCGAAAUGCGAUAAGUAGUGUGAAUUGCAGAAGUACCGUGAAUCAUCGAAUCUUUGAACGCAAAUUGCACUCUCUGGUAUUCCGGGGAGUAUGUCUGUUUGAGGGUCGCUUAACAAACCAUCGAUUUCGUUGCUUUUUUUUAAAAAGUGAUGUUUAUCGGAUUUGAGCCGUCUUUUUUUUUUAUAUUUAAGUGGCUUAAAAUUGAUUUUUUUGGUACGAUCGAAGCGUAUUUUUAUGAUCAAUUUUUGGUUAAAGAAACGCACACGUACCGUUAUUUAUAUGAUGUAAUACGUUUGACUAUUGGAUUUAGUUCAUUCGUAUACGAUAUUUUUCAAUAUUUGACCUCAAAUCAGGUAAGAACACCCGCUGAACUUAAGCAUAUCAAUAAGCGGAGGA